rnacentral:rRNA from 1 species
GAUGAACGCUAGCGGCAGGCCUAACACAUGCAAGUCGAGGGGUAGAAGGAGCUUGCUCCUUUGAGACCGGCGCACGGGUGCGUAACGCGUAUGCAAUCUACCUUGUACAGGGGAAUAGCCCAGAGAAAUUUGGAUUAAUGCCCCAUAGUAUAUAACCUUCGCAUGUUGGUUAUAUUAAAGUUCCAACGGUACAAGAUGAGCAUGCGUCCCAUUAGUUAGUUGGUAAGGUAACGGCUUACCAAGACGAUGAUGGGUAGGGGUCCUGAGAGGGAGAUCCCCCACACUGGUACUGAGACACGGACCAGACUCCUACGGGAGGCAGCAGUGAGGAAUAGUGGUCAAUGGUCGCAAGACUGAACCAGCCAUGCCGCGUGCAGGAAGACGGUCCUAUGGAUGGUAAACUGCUUUUAUACAGGAAGAAACCCUCCCACGUGUGGGAGCUUGACGGUACUGGAGGGAUAAGGAUCGGCUAACUCCGUG